AUCUGGAAAAAGAAGAUUGCCAAAUUAGGUACAAUUAGCAGACAAGAGUGAAUGAGGUAAAAUACAAAAUGCCAAAAGAAAAACGUGAACAUGGUAUCCUAGCACCAACUUUCAGGGGCACUUCUUUAAAACAAGGAAAUCAGUAUUAUUGCUAUGUUUAUCUGAAAUAAGGCAAACUUCUAAGGGAUCUUCAAAGAAUUUCAUGGAAAACAUACAUUAUGAAAAUAGAGAAAUCAAGAUUGCCUUUGCACAAAAAUAACAUCUUUUAAUUCCAUUUUCCCAUGAAUUUUUUGAAGCAUCUAAAUACUUUCAAACAUUUUCUAAAUAAGAAAAUAUAAUAAAGCAUAUGCCCUUUCACCACCUAUUUACAAAUGAAAAAUGUUACCCUAUUUAAUCAAAGAAGUGUGCCUUCAAAAGAAAAAAAAAUUAACUUCCCCACUGAGGAGUCUUAACUCAUAAUCCAACAUUGAAGUUUCAGUCACAACUCUAUCAGAAAAUGGCAUUUUUCAUGCUUUCCUAAACUGAAGAAAUCUAUGCCAGAUCUGAAUAUUUCAGCAACUCUCCAGCCUAAAGAUUAAUUAAUUAAAUUAAUUAAUUAGAAAUAUGGCUAAAGGAGCUCCUGCAAUAAUGGAAAAUAUUCAGAAAAGGCUCUAAGUAAUAUACUUGCAGAGACAAAUUGUUUCCAAAACUUCUAGACUCAUUAAAUGGCAUCAAUGAUACAAGAAUAUAACCCAAACUAGAAUCUUGGCAUCUAAUUUGAUUUGUAUCUUUCUUUUUACAGUCAUUAAAUUCCCAAAUUGUAAAUUUUUACUUCAAAAAUAACUGAUUAUCUAUUAUCAGGCCCAAAUAGCAUAUUAUUCUUCACACAAGAAUAGUGGUAGUAGACUCUUACAAAAGUCAAAAAAUAAGUGCCUCUACAUUAAAUGAACUUAGCAUUCAGUGACAAAUCAUCAUCAUAUAUACAAAAUUAAAAGCAGUCAUUAUAAUUUUGUUAUCAGGAGAUAUCUAGAAAGGGAAGACAAAUCUAAAUGCGGAGGUUAGAGAUACUGAGGGGUGAAAGGCAGCUUUCACAUUUUCUAUGUUUUUCCAUAUUGUUCAACUCUAACACCAGAGCAUAUUUAAUAAUACUUGUGUGUUGGCAUUAUUUCAAAGAAGUAAAGUAAGGGGGAAAGAACCAUUGAUAAAGUCAUAAGAAAAUUCAGGUUAGGAUGAGCCAGACUAGCAUAAAAGACAGAAUUUUACUUGGUCUUUGUACAAAAUGUAUUCACCUGGAGAUGAAAAGGAAAGAAGUAUAAUAGAUGGAGGGAUACGAGCAAAAGUAUUAGGGCAAAUAUUUAUCAUAUUCAAGGAUACUUAAUCAGCUUCUGCAGAGCCUUUAUGUGCUUGGAAAAAUUCUUUUAUUAUUAGUCCAACCUACCAAACUAAGCUUCAAACCUCAAAUUCACAACAUACCCUGCAACUAGAUUUCAAUUCGGAAAUGAGUCACAAGAGAAAACGGACUAUAGCAGCUGGUAUAGACAUUAGGGAAAGCAUCAGUUUUCCACAAUGGCAGCAAGAGAAGAGGUCCAACAGUGACUACAAAAUCAAGAUCCUGGUUCAGAAGUGGCAGCACUUGGAUAGCACAACGGGUUUCCUCCAGUGCUGGAUGGACCGGAGAGUGACAGUUUUCAGACAGGAUAUGAGGCAUCUGAAAGCUUAACCGUAAGCCUGGUUCUCUAGCCCUCCAAAAUAUCAAGUACAGAAUGAUAAUCAGUUGAACAAGAAAAUACAGGGAGAUAUUUUUAUUGAGAGUCAAUUCUAAAUAGAAACAGGACAAAUGUCUCCAAAAGUCUAUGGAAUUUUUUAUUAAUGUAGUAUAGAUUAUUAUGUAUUUUUACAAAUUAGAAACACAGUGGCACCCCCCACACUCCAACAUUUCCUCCCCCUGCCCUUCUCAGAUUUCCACUCUUAAUUUCUACAAAGAUCUACUUUCAGUACACUUAAUGAUCAUAUAGUUAGUUAACCUUACUCUAAGUAAAACAGUUCAACAAAUAGUAUGAAGAGAAAAAAAACAAAAACAAAAAGAAACACAUAGAGAUAGAGAGAACUUCCAUCUACUGGUUCACUCCCCAGAUGGCUGCAAUGGCCAGAGCUAGGCCAGGUUGAAGCCAGGAACCAGAAGCUUCAUUUGGUCUCCCAAGGGUAACAGGGUGCCAAACACUGGGCCAUCAGCAGGCAGCUGGACUGGAAAUGGAGCAUCCAAGACAAGAACAGGAGUCUUGGGACUGGCACUGUGGUGUAGUAGGUUAAGCAUCCUCCUGUGGUGCCGGCAUCCCAUGUGGGCAAUGGUUCUAGCCCCGGCUGCCCCAUUUCCAAUCUGGCUCCCUACUGAUAGCCUGGGAAAGCAGUAAAAGAUGGCCCAUGUGCUUGGGACCCGGCACCUACAGGGGAGAACCAGAAGAAGCUCCUGGCUCCUGAUCAGCCCAGCUCAACUCUGGCUGUUGCUGCCAUUUGGGGAGUGAACUAGCGGAUGGAUGCCUGUCUUUCUCUGUAACUCUGCAUCUCAAGUAAAUAAAUAAAUCGAAAUAAAUAAAUAAAUAAAUAAAUAAAUAAAUCCCGUGUGGGUGCAGGGGCUCAAGCACUUGGGCCAUCCUCCACUGCCUUCCUGGGCCACAGCAGAGAGCUGGACUGGAAGAGGAGCAACCGAGACAACCAGGACUAGAACCCGGCACCCACAUGGGAUGCCGGUGCCGCAGGCGGAGGAUUAACCAAGUGAGCCAUGGCGCCGGCCCCAACAAUUCCAUUGUUAACAUAGCAGGAUAGCAGGAUAAAAGCUUAUCAUCAAGAAACUACAAAACACCACACAAGAAGAAGUGCGCCACAGAGGACAGGCAGAUAAUUCACUCAACAACUAUCAGAGUAUUUACUAACUUCUCAACAUCAAUAACGGAAUUCAUAACACAGUAGACUAGUAUCUUCAAAGAGUUAAAGGUAAAUAACUGACAUUCAAAAAAAUGCUUUUCUCCAGGGAAACAAUCUUUUUGUUUAGCUUUAAAGAGCUAAACAAAAACAAGCUAAACAAAAACAGAGUUUACUACCAAAAGACUCACUAAAGGAACUGCUAAAUCUCUUUAGUUUCUUUCAGGAAGAAGAAAAAAAUGAGUCCUGAGAUGCUGGAAGGAAUGAUGGGAGAGGUGAAGGUAAAUUUAUUAUUAGGUCUUUAAAAAAAGUAAUAACUGCAUAAGACAACAAAAACAAUAAUCUGUGAGUAAAAGGCAGCCAAAAUAUUUGGCAUCUAUGGCAUAUUACGACAGGGGUGAUUACCAGCAAUCCAAUGUUUUAAGGUUCCUAUAUUUGCGACAGAGCAUGAUUCUGAUUACCAUUUUUACACAUUAAUUUUUUUCUAUAUUAACAAGUUAAAGAAUAGGGAAAGCUGGUGUAACUGGACAACAAAUGAAUAAUGUGGGACUUCUAGCUCACACAUUCCAUUAAAUCACAGGACUAAAUUUAACAGCUAAACAAAACACUCCUAGAAAAAAUCAUAUGUGUUAGUACCUAUGAAUUAAACCUAAGUCCAAUAUGACAUUAUGGUACAAAAAUAACUGUCAGAAACAUCAUAAAAACUGUUCUUCAGAUAUCAGUACGGUGAAAAGCAUGCUUGACUGAACUGCUUGCUUUUAUUCUUCACAUUUUAGUGAUAGUUCUGUUUCCCCACAGUCAAAUAUAAGACCUAUUUUUUUAGCAACUGUACAUGACCAGAGUAUGGGAGUCUGUGCAAAUCUUACCUCUUAUCUAAUCAUAAUAAUCAAUCAUCUUGUUUUUUUAACUAUUUUAUAUUUUCUAAUUUUUAUCUAUGAAAUUACUUCAAAUAAGUUUUUCAAAGAUUUAUGUAUUUAUUUGAAAGACAGGUUACAGAGAAAGAGGGACAGAAAGAGAAGAUUUUCCAUCUGCUGGUUCACUCCCCCAAAUGGCUACAAUAGAUAGGGCUGAUCAGACCAAACCAGGAGCCAGGAACCUCAUUGGGGUCUCCCAUGUGGGUAAAAGGGGCCCCACUGCUUUUCCAGGUAAAUACUAGGGAGCCGGAUCAGAAGAGGAGCAGCAGGACUUGAACUGGUGCCCAUGUGGGUUGCUGGCAUUGCAGGUGGCAGCUUAACCCACUAUACCACAACACCAGCCCCAAUUUCAAAUUUUCUUUCAAAGAUUUAUUAGAAAGUCAGAGUUACACAGAGAGAGGAGAGUCAGAGAGAGAGAGAGAUCUUCCAUCCACCAGUUCACUCCCCAGUUGGCCACAAUGGCUGGAGCUGCGGGAAUCCAAAGCCAGGAGCCAGUAGCUUCUUCCAGGUAUCCCACACGGGUGCCGGGGCCCAAGGACCUGGACCAUCUUCUACUGCUCUCCCAGGCCACAACAGAGAGCUGGAUUGAAGUGGAGCAGCCAGGACACAAACUGGUGCCCAUAUAGGAUGCCAGCACUGCAGACAGCAGCUUUACGGGCUAUGCCAUAGCGCCAGCCCCUCAAUUUUUUUUUUUAAUAUUUUUUAUUUAUUUAUUUGAGAGGUAGAGUUCCAGACAGUGAGAGGAAGAAACAGAGAAAAAGGUCUUCCUUCCACUGGUUCACUCUCCAAAUGGCUGCAACAGCUGGAACUGUGCAGAUCCGAAGCCUGGAGGCAGGCGCUUCUUCCCAGUCUCCCAUGUGGGUGUAGGGGCCCAAGGACUUGAGCCAUCCUCUACUGCUUUCCCAGGCCAUAGCAGAGAGCUGGAUUGGAGGUAGAGCAACUAGACUAGAACCAGCACCCAUAUGGGAUGCCAGCGCCGCAGGCGGAGGAUUAACCUACUGUGCCACGGCGCUGGCCCCUUAAAUAUUUUUUUAAUUAAUUUAUUUUUUGAAGCACACAGUUACAGAGAGGCAGUGGCAAAGAGAGAGAGAUAAAGAAAGUCUUCCAUCUGCUGAUUCACUUCCCAAAUGGCUGUAAUGGCCAUAGUUGGGCUGAUCCAAAGCCAGAAACCAGGGGCUUCUUGCAGGUCUCCCACACUGAUACAGGGGCCCAGGGAGCUGGACCAUCCUCUACUGCUUUCCCAGGCUAUAGCAGAGAGUUGGGUAGGAAGCAGAACAGCCAGGACUCGAACUGGUGCCCAUAUGGGAUGCCAGCACUGCAGGUGGGAGCUUUACCCUCAACAUCGCAGUGCCAGUCCCCAAUUUCAAAUAUUUUUAAAGACUUAUUUAUUUAUAUAUCUAUUUGAAAGGCAAGAACAACAGGACUAGACUUCAUGUACACAAUGAUUAGAGAAAAUGUACACAAUGAUUAGAGAAAACCCUUAGCACAGUUGCUAACAUAUAGUAGUAGACACUAUAAAUACUGGCUCAAUGCUGGGAAAGCAGGAGAAGAUGGCCAAACUCCUUGGGCCCCUGUACCCAUGUGGGAUACUGGGAUGAAGCUCCUAGCUCCUGGCUUCAGCCUGGCCCAGACCCGGCUGAUGCAGCCAUUUGGGGAGUGAACUAGUUCAAGAUCAAUCUCUCUCUGUCUCUCCUUCUCUCUCUGUAACUCUCACUUUCAAAUAAAGAAAUAAAUCUUUCCAAAACAUUGGCUCAGUGAAUAAAUGAUUGACCAAGUUCUUACCUUACAAAGGCCUUAGAUUUUUUAAAGGAUGAAAACAAUGCACAAAUCAUGUUUCUUCCUUUCUAAUAUAUAUCCACUGGAUGAGCUUAACAUUUACAGUAUUCAAUAGCUCUAUUACUUCUCAGUAAAAACCACUAUGAAAGACAUGAUCAAACUUAAGUUCAUUUUUAUCAGUAUCUUUAAUACAAAUUUGCAAUUGGUAAUUAUUUUGAAAAAGAACUUAACACUAACUGUACUUUUUAAAAAGUAAAAUAUAUUUUAAAAUGUUUGAAAAUUAGCCUAAAACAGAUUGCUGGGAGCUUAUAAAGAUAGAUAAAUUGCCUGAGAGCCUGCCUAUAAGAAGUCAUGAGAUACAGGACAAGAAGAUAGUCCUGUGGAAGGUUACAAAGUCAGGCCUAUGCCACAGUGGGCCCUUUUUUUUUCCUCAAGGUCUUGACCUAUACAUUCAGUUUCCUCUUGCUAUUCCUCCAGAUUGGGAAUCUCAGACCAUAAUUUGUUGCUAGACCAGUAGGUACCUAUGUGAGAGUGACUUAUACAGAUGGAAGAACUCAGUUUUAUCAGUCUUUCAUAUUUAUAGUCUGAUCAGAAAUUCAGUGUUUAGGAGGAAAGAACCUAUUUUGCCACAAGCUUCUAGAGUUUGGAUAUAUUUUCAAAUAAUAAUAUACUUAUUUAAAUAUGUAACCUGUAAUAGUAAAUUGUGUGUUCUAUUUCACUUUAACACUUAUUUCUCUUUGCAAGUUGUGCUUGAAUAAUAUUUCUGUAUACUAAAUAUAAUAAUUUGGGAGGUACAGAUAAAAGUACAUGGAAUAUUUUUUUUUAAUUCCAUGGUACAUAACUUCAAGUAAACAGUACAUCUUUGAAGUUAAGUCACGCAACACUAAACAAACUGGAUGGUAGAGACUCCUGCCAUCUUGUCUCAUUUGAUAAUAAUUAAUGUGGUGGCUCUUCGGUCACCACAAAACUCUGACAGUGUCCCAUGAAUGGUACAUGCAAUCACAACUGUUAUUCUUUUUUUUCUUUUUACUUUAAGGUUCUUUACUAAGUCUUCAAAAAAAUUAUAAACUAAAGAUGUUUGUUUAUCAGGUAAACUGAAAGCAGAAUGUAAGUGUUAUAUAAAUUACAAAUAUCCUGUUUUACAAAUGACUAUUCUAUACUGGUGCCUCUCCUUUCUUUCCCUUCUAAUUUGCAGCUUUUAGAGCUCCAUUCAUUUAUUCAUUUAGAGAAUAUUUAUUGAAUACUUACUGUGUUCCCUGGACUACAUAUUUACAAGAAGAUUAGGAUAGAGAAGAUCACAUCAGAAUCUCCACAGGGAAGCUGAACAAUACCCUACUGACAUAGAUCACAUUUCCUUUAUCCAUGCAUCUUAUGAUGGAAAGUUUGGUUGAAUCCAUAUUUUGGCUACUGUGAAUAGUGCUGCUUACAAACACGGUGGUGCAUAAAGUAUCUCUGACACAAGAGACUUUGUGGCCUAAUAUGUGAUCUACCCUAGAAUAUGUUCCAUGUGCUGAUGAGAAGAUGUGCAUCUGUAGCUAUUGGAUGAAAUGUCCCAUAAAUGUCAGGUUUAUUUGCUCAGUAAGCAUGUUUCAACUUCAAUGUAUCUUUAUAUUUUGUCUGGAGGUUCUGUCCAUUGAUGAGAGUGGGUGUUGAAGUCACCCACUAUUAUUUUAUUGAAGUCUAUUUCUCCUUUUAAGUCUAAUAGUAUUUGCUGAAUAUAUCUGGGUAGUCUUAUGUUGGGUGCAUAUACAUUUAAGAUUGCUAUGCCUUCUUGCUGAAUUGUACCUUGUAAUAAAAUGUAAUGCCUUCCUUAUCUCU